GACGAACGCUGGCGGCGUGCUUAACACAUGCAAGUCGAACGGAAAGGCCCUGCUUUUGUGGGGUGCUCGAGUGGCGAACGGGUGAGUAACACGUGAGUAACCUGCCCUUGACUUUGGGAUAACUUCAGGAAACUGGGGCUAAUACCGGAUAGGAGCUCCUGCUGCAUGGUGGGGGUUGGAACGUUUCGGCGGUUGGGGAUGGACUGGCGGCUGAUCAGCUAGUUGGUGGGGUAGUGGCCUACCAAGGCGUUGAAGGGUAGUUGGCAUGAGAGGGUGAAUGGCCAGCCUGGAAGGGAGACCCGGCCCAGAGUGAUAUGGGAGGCAGCCGUGGGGAAUCGGGGAGAAAGGGGGGAAGACUGAUCCAGAUGGGCCGAGUGGGUGAAGAAGGCCUCCGGGUGGGAAAGCCCGUCUGUUGGGAAAGAAAAGCAGUAGGUUAAUAACGAGCUGUUAUGACGGUAAACAAAGAAAAAGCACCGGCUAACUUCGUG
rnacentral:rRNA from 1 species